AUAAACACCCAAAUGAGUGCUUAUAAAUCAAGUGCCUAUAUGUGAUUCUGAAUUAGUACAAGUUCUAUAUAAAAAAAUCAUCGACACCAAGCUAGAAAUAUAAAUAUUUGUAAACCUUGUGGCUGGUUGGACUUGAGUUAAUCUUUUAUUUUUGCUAAAUAUCAACAGACUUAGAGCUAAAAGUUCAUAUUUGCAGAAUCAGUUAAGGUCAAAUAUUAGGGAAAUUUCUAGCUUUUACAUUCUACCUGAUGUUCUUAAGUUCGUGAAAUUUAGGAUACUUGCUCACAAAAAAGAGAUAGAAAUCCCAUGAGGUACAUGGAGCAAUAAAAUCAACGCACAAAGCGUCGGCAAUUUCAGUUAUUCUUCUUGGAAAAUGAAAAUCAAUUUAGAAGUAAAAGAAAACUCCUUA